AUUGUAAAAAAAUUAUAGAAAGUUUUUGUUUAUAGAAUUUAUUAUCUUUGGUUGGUAUUUUGGUGGACGUAGCUC
rnacentral:tRNA from 1 species